AAUAUCAAUUGAAUUUAUUACAAGUUACUAAGCUCCAAGGCACAUUACAGUGUUCUGUUAACUACAGAAAUGUAUAAAGGACAAACAGAGCAGAUUCUCCAUGUCUAGCAUUUCGCUCUACUGUUCAAAAGCAUCCGUGCAUCAAUAAAGCAAAAACAAAACAACACGUGUAGAUCCAACACAUUCAGGUCAGUAGAAACAAACCAAAACAUUUUCCCCUCACAAACUUGCAACAAAAUACACCCCAUCCCCCCCGACACCCCCUUACCAUUUUGCAAACAAAACAGAAAAACAAAACAAAACAACAAAAUAAAGUGAAGACUUCAACACUUGGGGCAGUUUAGAAGGAAGCUUUCACCAUUUUAUAGCAUUUUUUUUUUUUUUUUUUUUUUUUUUUUUUUUUUUUAGGCAGCAACACUGGCCUUGGCAAAAAAAAAAAAAAAAAAAAAAAAGUCUUUUUCUUUUGUGUGUGUUUUUCCUUUCAGAGAGUGCAUAACAUUUACAAAAAUACACACCAGCAGCAGUCGUUGCUAAGGGCUAUUAAUUCUGUACCUAGGCAAACAUUCUGCCACCAAAUAAAUGCUAACGAUAUGAUGCAAAUGACCCAACCAAUACUAUACUGCUUAACACAAACCAGCUUAUCCUUCAAAUGAAGAAGUUACAUACCUUUGUUUCAAAAUAUAGAAACAUACGACGAAAAUAAUGUCUAUACAUAAGACUAACUUUUUGCAGUUUCGUUAUAUUCACAAUUCUACACCUUGGGGGUGAGGGGAGGGAGGGUCGAGUUGGGUUGGGGGAGGGGCCCUCAGGAUUGGAGAGGAGCUGGUCUAGGGCAAAGGAGGUGGCUGCCCAGUGGUUCAAGGGUCUCUCUCCUUUUUCACUUUAACAUCCCCAGCUAAGAUAGUCGCGAUUUCGCCCUGCAUGAAGGCCCAAGGUACAUUCGACCCGACUAGGGGGCAUUUCUCUCCGCUGGGGCAAUACACCUCGCCGGUGGCCCCCUGGGCCUUGAUACUCUCUCUAGAGCAAGGGAAGCAAAAUUUGUGGCUGGGGACGGAAGGGCACUGAACGAAAUGCGUAUCCUCCAAACGUUCGUGGCAAAUGGUGCAGCAGAGGGGUCCGCUGUUGGCCAUGGGGGAAUCCGGAAUGUUUUGGGGGUGCACUUGGUCCAUGCCCGGGUGGGCGCUAGGCGGCGGGGGCGCCACCUGUAAAUUCAGGUCCCCGUUACGUGAUGCCAAGCGGCGCUGCCCCGGCACGGAGGCCGGCGAGACUGGGCUGCUGCUGUUUCGCCGCGCCGACGCAGUGGUAGAGUGCACGGAACUGCCAUCCUUGGGCGAGUGCGCUGUGCCCAGAGUAUCUGCCACCGACAUGAGAGCGGCCAUAGGGGACGGACCGUUCUGGGGGGCUGACUCAGGUGGGGUGGUCCGGUUGGAAUGGGGUCCCAGAGGUGGGGGCGGCGGAGGCGGACCCCCCGCCGCGUGCCCCGGCGCCGCGAAGCCCCCGGCGGACAUGGUGAGCUUCAGCGCCUCGCUCUGGUUCGCCAUCCACUGCUGCCUCUGCUGUUCCUCGCCCAGCUUCAGCGCGCCCUCGGCUGAGUCCGGGGGCUCCGGAGAGGCCUUUCUCUUGCGCAGGCUGGCGGCUGCGCCCCGGCCCGACGGCGCGGCGGGCGGCAAGGCCCCGGUCCCCGGGGGUGCGCUGGGGGCGCGGCUCAGACUCACCAGAGCAGUGGGCAGCAUGGGACAGCUGGCGUCCAGGUAGGGCUGGGGCAGCAUGUCGGCGCCGGGCACGCCCUCCUUGAAGAAGCGCACGGCUUCGGGGAGCAGGUCUCCAAGCAGGCGCCAGUCCCCGGAGCCGUGCUUCUUUUCGUACUCCAGGUACUUGAAACCCGAGGAUAGGCCCCGGCCGAAGUCCUUCAUGCAGUCCUGAUACAUCUGCUUGGCCACACCAGAUGCACUGGAGUACACGUUGCCCGAGCCCGUGGGGUACUCAAUGAACAGCUUCAAUUCGUAGUCCAUGCCGGGCUUGGAGACGGCGUCGAAGGCGAAAACGCGGCCCAGCAGCGAGUGGUCCUUCUUGAAGCGAACCUCGUAGGGCGUGCAGCCUGCCAGCGUGAGCAGCGUGUCGCGGACCAUCUUGGGCUUGCUGGCCCACUCCUCGGCGCGGUUGCGCAGGCUCUCGCUCAGCUCGGCCAGGGCCUCGGCGUUGCGCUGCUUCUCCUUCAACUCGCGCUCCUGGUCUGUGCUCGACACCGAGCCGGGCCUCUUACCACCAGCACCCACGCCCACCUCUGCCACCGACGAAGAGGUCGAAGACGACGCGGAGGACGACGUGGCCGAUACACCCGGGGUACCCCCGAGACAAGCGGGGCCCCCAGGAGCCCCUGGGGGAGCAGGCGUCGGGGGCCCACGGCUGCCCAGGGCGUGGGGAGGGGGUGGGGGGAGUACCGCAGCGCUGGCCGGGCCGUUAAGCAGCGUCUGCGGUAGCAGGUUGGGGGGCACGGUGAGCUGGGGGCCUCCGCCACCCCCCGGGUUGGGCAGCCCCGUAACCAGCCCACCGUGCGUUCCACGCCGAGACGCCACCGACGCCGCCGCUGAAGAAGAAUUGGGGCUCUGACGGUUCAGCUCUGGGGGUCCCUCCUCUGGUGUUGGUUUGGGGAAGCCGUUUGGGCCCCCCAGGCCGUUGGGCAGUCGCGCGGUGUGGCUGCUGCUUCCCAGGCUCACCGGCGGUGGCGGGUACUCGAAGCGGCUGCGCUGUUCCACCGCAGCGGCGGCGGCGGCGGCGGCGGCGGCGGCAGCGCUUAGGCCGUAGCGCUCCAGGCCAGACGGGGCCGCCAGCACCGCAGGCUUGCUGGAACCAUCAACGUGGUUGAGCUGUUGUUGCUGCUGCUGCUGCUGCUGCUGCUGCUGCUGUUGCUGCUGCUGCUGCUGCUGUUGCUGUUGCUGGGCGGCGGCGGCCCGGGGGAGCGGCCGUCCUGGAAGCAGCCGUGCGCCCGCUUCAGCUGGCGCGCUGUCUCGAUCACGAAUUCGAUGCGAUCAGCGCCCUCGUAGUUGACGCAACCGCGGCAUACGGGUUCCGAGAAGUCCCAGAUCAUGGCCCAGGGCAUGCGGGGCAGGUCGCACAGGUAGCAAGAUUGUCUCCGGGACGAGGACACCUGCGCCGCCGACAUGAUGCCUGCCCUGGGGAAGGUAGGCCCCCGCCCGGGCUGUCUCCGCGGCGCCUUCUCCUCCGGGAGGACUGGCCGGCUGGGGAGGGAGUCCGACUGCGGGGGAGGGAGGAGGGGGGGCGAGAAAGUUCUGCCCCAGGGGCUGGAGGGAACGCGAGUCUCCACCGCCGGCGCAGCGCCUCGCCGUGGGGGCUCCACCGCCCGGGCAGCGGACGGGUUCAGCCCUCUCUUCGCCCCCACCUCCUACUGCGGUUGACUCGUCGCGAGGGGAGCUCAGGCGCCUUCUUCCUGGUGCUGCAGACUUGGGCUGGAAGCUCCCGGCCCGAGGGGAGGGGGCGAGGGUGCCCGGUGGUGGCCGCCGUUGCCUCUUGGCCCCCUCCCCGGAGUGGCUGGUGCGUGGAAGCUCGAAAGGGGCUGUCUCUUCCUCUCCCCGGGGACCCCCCUACGAGCUGCGUCCUCUCCCCGACGGGCCCCCUGGGGCGAGGGCCAG
rnacentral:lncRNA from 1 species